UACGUAGGCAGCGAGCGUUGUUCGGAGUUACUGGGCGUAAAGGGUGUGUAGGCGGUUGUUUAAGUUUGGUGUGAAAUCUCCCGGCUCAACUGGGAGGGUGCGCCGAAUACUGAAUGACUUGGAGUGCGGGAGAGGUGAGUGGAAUUCCUGGUGUAGCGGUGAAAUGCGUAGAUAUUGGGAGGAACACCAGUGGCGAAGGCGGCUCACUGGACCGGUUCUGACGCUGAGGCGCGAAAGCGUGGGGAGCAAACGGG
rnacentral:rRNA from 1 species